UACGGGGGGGGCAAGCGUUGUUCGGAAUUACUGGGCGUAAAGGGCUCGUAGGUGGCCAACUAAGUCAGACGUGAAAUCCCUCGGCUUAACCGGGGAACUGCGUCUGAUACUGGACGGCUUGAGUUUGGGAGAGGGACGCGGAAUUCCAGGUGUAGCGGUGAAAUUCGUAGAUAUUCGCAAGAACACCAGUGGCGAAGGCGGCCAACUGGUCCGAUACUGACACUGAGGCGCGAAAGCGUGGGGAGCAAACAGG
rnacentral:rRNA from 1 species